CUUUAAAGGAACAAUGAACAUCAAAGGCAGUGUUAUAGUCUUAUUCCUCUGUUUCCUGACUCUAUUUUCCUUAACAGACUGUACCAAAUGUACCAAUGUAUUAGAAGGGGGCACUCUCACAUUUAUACUGGCUGAUAAUAAUAAUCCACUUGGGGAUAAUGAUCGAUUCAUUUUAAAAAAAGAUAAUACAAUUAAAGUCCCCAAAAGGAAGCGGAAUGAAAAGGGACCAGGGAUUGUGGAAGGUAAUUCCCUGAAGUUCAAGCAUGUGGAAAUGAGUGAUACUGGAACAUACAUCGUUGAGGUUUUUGAUGAUAAGGGCACCAACAAAAAAUCAUACUCGGAAAGCGUAUGUGUAUAUGCAAAAGUCCCGAAGCCAAGAGUGAAUAUUACAUGCCUGGAAAAAAAUGUUGACAUCAGAUGUGAGGUCGAAAUCAACAACGAUCUAAGAUCAGAAAUAUCUUACAGCUGGCACAAAAAUGGGAAAGAAUUAAUGAAAGAAUUCAACUUCUUUGUCCCUGAUGAGCAAGCCGUGGCGACUGUGGCAAGG